GUGGGGAAUAUUGGACAAUGGGCGCAAGCCUGAUCCAGCCAUGCCGCGUGAGUGAUGAAGGCCUUAGGGUUGUAAAGCUCUUUCAGUGGGGACGAUAAUGACGGUACCCACAGAAGAAGCCCCGGCUAACUUCGUGCCAGCAGCCGCGGUAAUACGAAGGGGGCUAGCGUUGUUCGGAUUUACUGGGCGUAAAGCGCACGUAGUCGGAUCGUUAAGUCGGGGGUGAAAUCCUGGGGCUCAACUCCAGAACUGCCUUCGAUACUGGCGAUCUUGAGUCCGGAAGAGGUGAGUGGAACUCCUAGUGUAGAGGUGGAAUUCGUAGAUAUUAGGAAGACCACCAGUGGCGAAGGCGGCUCACUGGUCCGGUACUGACGCUGAGGUGCGAAAGCGUGGGGAGCAAACAGGAUUAGAUACCCCUGUAGUCC
rnacentral:rRNA from 1 species